UCCGGUUUAUCACCGGCAGUUCCCCAUGAGUCCCCGGCAUUACCCGCUGGCAACAUGGGAUAGGGGUUGCGCUCGUUACGGGACUUAACCCAACAUUUCACAACACGAGCUGACGACAGCCAUGCAGCACCUGUCACUCGGCUCCCGAAGGCACUCCGCCAUCUCUGGCAGAUUCAGAGGAUGUCAAGGGUAGGUAAGGUUCUUCGCGUUGCAUCGAAUUAAACCACAUGCUCCACCGCUUGUGCGGGCCCCCGUCAAUUCCUUUGAGUUUUAGCCUUGCGGCCGUACUCCCCAGGCGGGGCACUUAAUGCGUUAGCUACGGCACGGAACCCGUCAAUGAGGUCCCACACCUAGUGCCCAUCGUUUACGGCGUGGACUAC
rnacentral:misc_RNA from 1 species